rnacentral:piRNA from 1 species
UGUUGCUUUGUGUCUUAAUUUGGUCCAUCCU